rnacentral:lncRNA from 1 species
GGCAGUUCCUUGGAGAAACUAGGGGUGAUUCUAUCAUAAAAAGGGGUGGGGGAGAGUAGAUCAGGCAGACACAAUCACUGAAGGAGGAGAGUACAGGAGAUUUAGAGGAAGAAGAUCUGUGAAGAGGUUUGGGAGGAGUUAAGAAGGGAAAGCAAUCAGUCAUUUUUCCAAAGGCCAGUCUGCAGGGCUGGGACUGAGCACAGGCUGAAAUCAAGGUUGGACUACCUCUCAGCCCUUCUCAAGCCCUCCAGGCCUAGCAGUCUCCAUCUGAUCCUGUAUUGGAAAUGGGCAUGGAAGAUGCCACAACUUCUCAAGCUUUCCCUAGGAAAAGGGGUGGGUGAACUUCUGGCCUGAAGAAUCUGAGGAUGGAAGGUCAACUUUGCUCUUCUCCUGGGUUCUGGAACCAGACCUUCCUAACCUGCUCUGCUCACCUGGAGCCCCAGCCCACUGUCACCCAUGCCCUCAUCUCCAGACUCUUCUUCCAGCAAGCUUGCAAAGCAGGGAUGGUGGCUUGGAGCACCAGCUUCCGUGUCAAGCAGGGCAGGCUGCACUCCCAGCGCCCUGGUGCCUCUGGCUCUCGAGGCUUGUUCCUCAUCUCUAGCUCCCUCACAGAGUUGUCCUGAGGCUCACAAUGGGAACACAUCAAUAAAUUACCUAUUGCAUUAAAAUGAGUUGUUAUUAUUGGCACAAUUGUUAUUGACGCUUAAGCCUGAAGGCAAAUAAAUGAUUUUUAGCUGCA